AGCUCGGAGGCGCGCGGCCGCGGGCCCGUCCUAAGGAGCGAGCCGGGGAACAGGACGAUCUUCAGGAAGAGCCGGUGUGCUGCCCUCAGGAAGUCCGUCAUGAUUCGUGAGGAACGCGGCGUCACUCCCCACCUGCACCGUCUAGAUGAAGGGGGAUCGGUGAAGUCACACAUCCAGUUCCUUUCUGUACUAACUGAACUCUGCCCCCUCAUCUGACCCUGGAUCAGCUCGACACCAUGGCGACGGUAUUCCUGCAGCGUCCAACUGUAGCAGCUCAGAUGGCAAACAUCACAGUAUGCUGUACCACGGCCACUGUGCUCCGAGUCGAUCUUGAAGAGCCAGCGCUGCACACCCAAGUUUUGAGUCAUAAUCUCUGCCAGUGCUUCAUGAAGCUAAACCAAAAG